ACGCAUUAAGCGUACGGUGCGAAAUUUGUCUUUGUGUGUGUCCAGAAAGUUGACAACAUCCCGCGUAGGAAAUGUUUCGAGUAUCUGUAAUUUAUUUGAUGUUCGUUUUGCUUUUGUUACUGAACAAAUGGUUGCCUGUUGCAAAUGGAUUUUGGCUAAAACCGGUCGACUUCAAAUACCAUUGUAGAGAAAAGUUUUCCCUAACGGAUGAUGAUAAGAUGGAUGACACAUAAAACUUAAAAUAACGGUAACGCAUCAUUUUACAAAACCGACUUUUUUAUAAGUAUUUUUGACUAUUGCUAUUACGGCUUGUAUUCAAUUCCGUUAUAUCAUAUUUUUCUUAUAUUCAAAAAAUGUUAUAAAUCAAUAAAUUUCCAUCUUUAUACCCGA